CUUGGGUCUUCCAGGCCAGGUGUAAGCAAAUGUAGGGAGUUCAGCCCCAGGAGAGAUAAAAGAAUCAUGCCAUGGCCAGGCGCAGUGACUUAUGCCUAUAAUCCCAGCACUUUGGGAGGCCGAGAUGGGCGGAUCGCUUGAGCUUAGGAGUUCGAGACCAGCCUGGGAAACAUAGUGAAACCUCAUCUCUACACACACACACACACACACACACACACACACACACACACACACACACACACACAAAGCCAGGUGUGAUGGCAUACAUCUCUAGUCCCAGCUACUUGGGAGGCUGAGGUGGGAGGAUUGCUUGAGCCUGGGAGGUGGAGGUUGCAGUAAGCCAAGAUCGUGCCACCAUACUCCAGCCUGGGUAACAGAGUGAGACCCUGUCUCAAAAAAAAAAAAAAAAGAAAACAUGCCAUGAUACCACAUGCUCCCUAAUCCUCUACUUUCUCAAACCCUAUUUUCUGCCUGCCUUUUCUUUCACCUCCCUUUAGCCAAUUCCAUUCCUGGCUACCUCAUCCCCUCCAGUCUGAAAGGACGUGUGAAUGCCACCAGGAUCUGAACCCAAGAUUCCAGCCUUGGUCACCACCCUGACCCUGAGAAUGCCACUGGGAUGGGGAGAACUUGUCAGUCUUCAUCCUUCCCCACAAGUAUACUGAGGCCAGGACAGGCUCAGCUCCAGAAGCAGACCCAGAAUGGCAUCCUUCUCUGAGACCCAGACCCCAGCCCCUCUUCAUGGAAGACCAGCACAAAGGAGGAAGUAGGUUAGGGAAUGGUAAGGCUCCAUGUGAUGGGACUAAUGUGGAGAGGCCUGGGGCCUUUCCCUGAGGACUGGAUGGCUGGAGUUUGGGAGCCUGAGUUGACAGAGGAGGCUAAGCCCGGGCAGCUACUUUGUUCCAGAAAUCUAAGGUCCCUGGAGGGAGGCUCUGCUUUGGGAGGGGGAAGGGAGCUAACAUUGCAGAGCACCAACUGUGAACCAGGUACAAUGGCAGAGCCUUUCCAUACCUGUACUCACAACUAGCGGGUGAGGAGUCAAGGCAAAUAGGUGUCUCAUAGCUCCCCAUAUCUCGGCAGUCGACCACCUCCUCCUUUGAUUCUCUGAUGUCACUGCCAGUUCUCCUCCUAUUGCUCUGACCUGUCUUUCUCUGUGUCCUUUGCAAACUCAUUCUCAACUCCUUAGACUCAGUCAAGUCCCCCAGUUACACACUUCCAUGGUACUAUAUAUCGUUCCUUCAGAGCACUUAACACAGUUAUUUCCUAUGUAUUUGUCCAGUCAUUUGAAUAAUGAUCCUAGUUUCAUUGGAUGGAAAGUUCCACAAGGUCAGUGACCAUUUCUAUCUGUGUUCACCAAUGUGUUCCCAGUGCCCAGAAACAAUGCCUAGCAUAAAGC
rnacentral:lncRNA from 1 species